rnacentral:rRNA from 1 species
AACGAACGCUGGCGGCAGGCCUAACACAUGCAAGUCGAGCGCCCCGCAAGGGGAGCGGCGGACGGGUGAGUAACGCGUGGGAACGUGCCUCUUGCUACGGAAUAGCCUCGGGAAACUGGGAGUAAUACCGUAUGUGCCCUACGGGGGAAAGAUUUAUCGGCAAGAGAUCGGCCCGCGUUGGAUUAGGUAGUUGGUGGGGUAAUGGCCUACCAAGCCGACGAUCCAUAGCUGGUUUGAGAGGAUGAUCAGCCACACUGGGACUGAGACACGGCCCAGACUCCUACGGGAGGCAGCAGUGGGGAAUCUUAGACAAUGGGCGCAAGCCUGAUCUAGCCAUGCCGCGUGAGCGAUGAAGGCCUUAGGGUUGUAAAGCUCUUUCAGUGGGGAAGAUAAUGACUGUACCCACAGAAGAAGCCCCGGCUAACUCCGUG